rnacentral:rRNA from 2 species
UAACCGGCGAUACCCGAAUGGGGAAACCCAGUGUGAUUCGUCACACUAUCAUUAACUGAAUCCAUAGGUUAAUGAGGCGAACCGGGGGAACUGAAACAUCUAAGUACCCCGAGGAAAAGAAAUCAACCGAGAUUCCCCCAGUAGCGGCGAGCGAACGGGGAGGAGCCCAGAGCCUGAAUCAGCAUGUGUGUUAGUGGAAGCGUCUGGAAAGGCGCGCGAUACAGGGUGACAGCCCCGUACACAAAAGCGCAUGUGCUGUGAGCUCGAUGAGUAGGGCGGGACACGUGGUAUCCUGUCUGAAUAUGGGGGGACCAUCCUCCAAGGCUAAAUACUCCUGACUGACCGAUAGUGAACCAGUACCGUGAGGGAAAGGCGAAAAGAACCCCGGCGAGGGGAGUGAAAAAGAACCUGAAACCGU